rnacentral:misc_RNA from 1 species
GAUGAAGAACGCAGCGAAAUGCGAUAAGUAAUGUGAAUUGCAGAAUUCAGUGAAUCAUCGAAUCUUUGAACGCAUCUUGCGCUCCUUGGUAUUCUGAGGAGCAUGCCUGUUUGAGUGUCAUUAAAUUCUCAACUACACUGACUUUGAAUUGGUGUGGCUUGGAUUUGGGGGGAAAAUUGUUGUGGGCUUUUUGUAUAGUCUGCUCCCCUGAAAUUGAUUAGCGGUACCUUUGUGGAACUGUCUAAAGGUGUGAUAAUUAUCUACAUCUGCUGGAAUGCUGCUUUCUAAACCUUACUUGUAUUGACAAUCUUGACCUCAAAUCAGGUAGGACUACCCGCUGAACUUAAGCAUAUCAAUAAGCGGAGGA